ACGAAGAAUAUGAUCUUAAGAAUUUCUCAGGAAAUCAAACCUUACAACACGCACACACACACACACUCACACUAUGAUAAGGUCAUCAGCAUGUAACAAGUUGUUCAUGUCACCAACAACAUCUUCGCCAUUGGUCCCAUGUUGCAGCAGCAUUGCUUGGAAUUUCAAUCCUCCUCCAUCAUUAUUCUCUUCUUCCUCCUCUCCUACCCUCUCAAGCAAGGCCAACUUCCUCUCUUGUGCCCACUCAAAAACACUUGGUAUAGAAGAAGAAGAAGAAGAAGAAGAAGAAGAAGCAAUAAUUGAAAAGAGUAGCACACCAUCAGAGUUGGUAGAGUUCCCUUUGUUGAAUGAAGAGUAUAGAGCAUGCACCAUUCCUUGGAGGGACCCUUCUGAUGAUCCAAGUGUUCCUGCUCCCACCGAGCUAUCUUGGAUUAAUCUCCUCCUCAAUACUAUCCCUUCCUACAAGAAGCGUGCUGAGACUGAUUCUUCUGUUCCAGAUGCUGCAAACAGAGCUGAAAUAUUUGCUAAAAGGUAUGCUGAAAUACUAGAAGAUUUGAAGAAGGAUCCUGCAAGUCAUGGAGUCCCUCUUGAUAUCCGUCUUUUAUGCAGACUUCGCGAGCAAGUACUUAGGGAAGUUGGAUUCAGAGAUAUCUUCAAGAAAGUCAAGGAGGAAGAGAAUUUAAAGGCUAUCUCACUAUUUGAGAACGUUGUUCGUCUUAAUGACGCCAUCGAAGAUGAAGGCGAGCGACUCGAAAAUCUAGUUAGAGGAAUUUUCGCAGGGAAUGUAUUCGACCUUGGUUCUAUUGAGCUUGCAGAGGCUUUCUCAAGGGACGGAAUGUCCUUUUCGUCUGCUUGCGAAAAGCUUGUCGCUCGGCCUUGGAUUAUCGAUGAUCUUGAUACUUUCAAAAUGAAAUGGAGAAAAAAGAAGUGGAAGAAGGUUAUCAUAUUUGUUGAUAACUCUGGUGCAGAUAUCAUUUUGGGUAUUUUGCCAUUUGUGAGGGAGCUUCUUCGACGGGGCAGCCAGGUUGUAUUGGCUGCUAAUGACUUGCCUUCUAUCAAUGAUGUGACAUACUUAGAGCUAAUUGAAAUUAUAUCUAAGUUAAGGGACGAGGAAGGAUGUCUCAUCGGUGUCAGCACUUCAAAUCUGUUAAUUGCCAACUCUGGCAAUGAUUUACCUGCUCGCAGGUUAUUGAUCUUACUAGGGUGUCUCAGGAGGUUGCUUACCAUGCCAGUGAUGCAGAUCUUGUUAUCUUAGAAGGGAUGGGUCGUGGAAUAGAAACAAAUCUCUACGCCCAAUUUAAAUGUGAUUCACUCAAGAUUGGAAUGGUGAAACAUGUUGAGGUUGCAGAAUUUCUUGGGUCACGUAUGUAUGACUGUGUAAUCAAAUACAAUGAAGCUACGGGAUCAUAAUAUAACUAAGGCUGAUUCUUUGGUAACAGUACAUGUGCAAUUUGCUUAGUGCUUAUUAGUGGUUCUUUCAAUUGGAGAUAAUAUGUCAAAUAGUAGACGGGGACUUGGAAAUGUCAAUGUUCAAAUCUUUAGUAGUUAAAA